AUUGAACGCUGGCGGCAUGCCUUACACAUGCAAGUCGAACGGCAGCACGGGGGCAACCCUGGUGGCGAGUGGCGAACGGGUGAGUAAUGCAUCGGAACGUGCCCAGUAGUGGGGGAUAACCCGGCGAAAGCCGGGCUAAUACCGCAUACGACCUACGGGUGAAAGCGGGGGACCGUAAGGCCUCGCGCUAUUGGAGCGGCCGAUGUCUGAUUAGCUAGUUGGCGGGGUAAAGGCCCACCAAGGCGACGAUCAGUAGCUGGUCUGAGAGGACGAACAGCCACACUGGGACUGAGACACGGCCCAGACUCCUACGGGAGGCAGCAGUGGGGAAUUUUGGACAAUGGGCGCAAGCCUGAUCCAGCCAUGCCGCGUGCGGGAAGAAGGCCUUCGGGUUGUAAACCGCUUUUGGCAGGAACGAAACGGCGCAAGCUAAUACCUUGCGCUAAUGACGGUACCUGCAGAAUAAGCACCGGCUAACUACGUGCCAGCCGCCGCCGUAACAC
rnacentral:rRNA from 1 species